GUAAUUCUAAAAUUUUCCAUGUUCAGAGUUCAGUUGGGAGUGAGUGAAGGAGAAGCAGCAGAAAGACCUGGUGUGGAAAAGGAUUGAGAAGCCCUGCUGUUUAGAGAGAUGAGACUAGGGCCGUGGGAGUAGGGGACGUGCAGAACAGAGACGCACGGGGAGAAAUACCGGAAAUGCUGAUGAGAAUAGCCUGGCAGCUGGCAGAGUGGAAGGAGGCAGGAGAGGGGAUGCCUGAAGGAGCCACAUCCUGAGAAGUUACCAGGAGAUGUGACCCUGGACUGGCAUGUGCACUGUUUCUGGCGAGAGAAGAGAUACUUUCUUCUUUGAAAGGACAGAAGGAAGAGGAAGUAGGAGCUGAGUCAGAUGUACUCAGGUUAAGAUGGAGUCAUUAAGUGGGUCCCAAUCCAAUAUGACUGGUGUCUUUACAAGUAGAGGAGAGACCCAGAGAGGAGACCACCAAGUGAAGACACAGAGACACAAGGAAGGAAGAUGGCCAUGUGAAGACAGAGACAGAGAUGGGAGUCAUGCUGCCACCAGCCAAGGAACCCCUGGGGCCACUAGAAGCUGGAAGAGGCCAGAAGGACUUUCCCUUUGAGGUUUCAGAGGGAGCUGGGCUCUGCUCACACCUUGAUUUUAGACUUCUAGCCUCCUGAACUGUGAGAGAAUAAAUUUCUGUUGUUAUAAACCAUUCAGUUUGUGGCACUUUGUUUCGGCAGCCCUUGGAAACUACAACAUGUCUAUUGAUGUGAGAAAUUCCUUGUAGGCGGCGGGAGUGGAGAGGAUUCCCCCCUUGAAAUUAAAAACAAUCAAAAUUGUGGAAUUAAAUCGUUCAGUUAUUGUCUCCUCUUUGAAGUAUGAGCUGAGCGCACCGUUGGGGACCACACAGCACCGCCUUCUGGGCAGCUCUCUUAAUUGCUCAACCUACUGUAAAGACACUUUUCUUGCAAUAAUAAAAAACAAUUUAUCGAGCUCCUACUACUUCAAAAUAUCGUGUUAGCUCUCCUGGGAGUAUGGCUAUAUAACUCCAUCACUAUAAUACACAACAAAAGACUGACAAGCGCCAAAAUCUAGGAUAAAAAAGGGAGAAGCAAUUAUAAUUCUUACCAAACCGAAUUAAAAAUUAAC
rnacentral:lncRNA from 1 species